GGGGACAUGGUGUCAACGGUAGCACAACGGUCUCCAAAACCGUUAGUUCGGGUUCGAAUCCUGAUGUCCCUGCCA
rnacentral:tRNA from 1 species